UUCGAGCUUUUCCUGGGAGUAUGGCAUGGGUUACUUCAGCGCCGUGGCGCCUGGUACUCGAACAUUGGCUCGAGGCAUUUUCUCUACCCCUUCUUACCCUGAAAAAUCAGGGGCACCCCGCGUCCUUGAACCGAUAACCAUCUUUCGGCUAACCUAGCCUCCUCCAUCCCUCGGGACCAACAAGGGGUAGUACAGGAAUAUUCACCUGUUGUCCAUCGACUACGCCUUUCAGCCUGAUCUUAGGCCCUGACUCACCCUCCGUGGACGAACCUUGUGGAGGCAUAAAAGAAAUCGGUAGCAUAAAAGAAAAUGGCUCGGCUAAGUGGGAUAGCCAAGCCAGAAAAAAAAAUAGAUUUAGAAGAUAUAAAUGGGUUUUUCUCAUUACCAUAUUGUUGAUGCUUUUGGUUUUUCUGGGGGUGUUUGGUUGUUGUGGAAUGGGAAUUCAGUUUCUCUUCAAGUUAUUCCGCACUCUAGCCAAUCUAUCACUGCGUUAGUAACUUUGAGGAAUCAUAGGUGGCUCCUCGCUAUUGUUUAUGCAAACCCUUGCCCUGGGAUUUGAGAAGCUUUGUGGAAGUACUUUGAUGGUCUUAUUGAAGCUUCCAAUCUGCCAUGGCUUGUUCUAGGUGAUUUUAAUGAUAUUGUGAGUGUGGAUGAGAAAUGUGGGGGUAAUUUAGAUCAAGGUGGUAAAAAUUUUGCUGAGUGGAUUGAUCGUAACCAUUUGGUUGACCUGGGUUUCACUGGGGCAAAGUUUACUUGGUGUAAUAAACAGAAUGGUGAAGGAAUUAUUUGGAAGAGGCUUGAUAGGGGCCUUUGUAGUAUUGAUUGGCGUCUUUUGUUCCCUGAGGCUCACCUCCUACAUCUUCCUAGGGUGAAUUCAGAUCACUGUCCUAUUUUGGUGCGCCUUGACUCCAAACAUUAUCCUAAUAGAGCAAAUGUGCCUUUUCGUUUCCAAGCCAUGUGGAUGUCUCAUCCUGAUUUUAAGGAAUUUGUUACGAACCUUUGGAGUUCUGGUGAUGGUCAUGCUGUACACAGAUCAGCUAGGCUCGUGGCUCCGCUUGGCAUUUGGAAUCAGCAGGUUUUUGGGUGUUUAUUUACAAAGAAAAGGCAUCUUUUAGCUAGACUUGCAGGAAUUUAAAAGAAGCUUUGUCAUGAGCAUAAUCCUUUCCUUAGCGAGCUUGAGGUUGAGCUUACUAAAGAUUACAAUUUACUACUGGAUCAAGAAGAGACUUUUUGGCUACAAAAGUCCAGGAAUACCUGGCUUAAAGAAGAGGACAGGAAUACUCGGUUCUUCCAUCUGUCCACAGUUGUUAGACGAAGAAUGAAUAAGUUGGAAUGGUUACAUGAUGAUUUUGGGGAUUGGAUUACUGAGAAACAGAGCAUGAAACAUAUUAUUGUUAAUUAUUUUCAAGGGUUGUUUUGUGCUUAUGAUAUGGUUGGUGACUAUGCUUUGCUUCCUCAGUUGUAUCCUAGCCUUGAAGAGGCUGAUCUUGAAGGUCUUAGUUGUCCGGUUUCUAUUGAAGAGAUUAAGAAUAGUGUGUUUGCUAUUGGUAGAUUAAAGACCCCAGGACCUGAUGGUUUCCCUGCUCUUUUCUACCAAGAUUAUUGGGGGGUUUGCUCUGAUGAUAUCAUUUCCUUUUUACAUGAUUGCUUUAAUACUGCCACCCUUCUUGAUCAUUUAAAUGAGACUCUGAUUGCUUUGGAGCCUAAAGUGGAGAGGCCUAUGUUUAUGAAUCAGCUUAGGCCUAUUAGCCUUUGCAACUCUUUAUAAAGUGGUCUCUAAAAUCCUUGUGGCUAGGCUUAGGCCAUGUAUGACUAAGCUUGUCAGCUCUAGCCAAGUUUGUUUUGUUCUAGGGAGACAAAUUACGGAUAACAUUAUUGUUGCUCAAGAAGUGCUCCACAAAUUUAAAUAUGCCAAGGGUUUUAUAGCUAGGAAAAUUGAUUUAUCCAAAGCUUAUGAUCGUAUGCAAUGGCCUUUUAUUAGGGAGAUUCUCUAGGAAGUGGGCAUUAAAGGAAGCAUUUUGGAGUUGCUUAUGCAGUGUAUCAUUUCUGUGCAGUACAAGGCCAUUCUUAAUGGGGAGCUAAUUGACUCUUUCUCUCCUCAGUGUGGUAUUAGGCAGGGGGACCCUCUCUCCCCUUAUAUAUUUGUUUUGUGUAUGGAAAAACUCUCUCAUCUCAUUCAACAAAAGAUUCAGGAUAGAGCUUGGAAGUCUGUUUAGAUUUGUCAUGGAGGUCCUCAUAUUUCCCAUUUAUUCUUUGUUGAUGAUUUAAUCCUUUUUGGGGAAGCUACUAUUGAUCAAGCUUGUUUGAUGAAAUAGUGUUUGGAUGAUUUCUGUCAGUUGUCUGGUCAGCGAGUUAGCUUUGAAAAGUCUAUGAUAUGUGUUUCCCCAAAUACGUGCUCUGAUUUGGCUAAUUCAAUUGCUAUGAUAAGUGGUUCUCCUCUCACUGCUAGCCUUGGUAAGUACCUUGGUGUCCCACUAGAGUCAGUAAACAAACAUAUCAAGAGGUUAUUGCUAAAGUCCCAAAGAGAUUAGCUUCUUGGAAGAGCCAUACGUUGUCUAUCGCUGGUAGAAUUACUUUGCUUCAAUCUGUUACUGCUGCUAUUCCGAUCUAUACUAUACAAACUGCCAAGUUGCCUAUGUCUGUCUGUGAUAAAUUGAAUCUGCUCAACAGGAAUUUUCUUUGGGGGCAUACCAGUAAUACUUCUAAAAUCCAUCUUGUCAAUUGGGAGCAAGUGUGUAAACCUAAGGUAGUUGGUGGGUUAGGCAUUAAAAGGUCUGCUUGGAUGAACCAAGCUCUUUUGGCUAAGACUGGAUGAAGACAUCUUCAACAUGAGCAAGGUUUGUGGUCUCAGGUCUUCUAUGCUAAGUACUUAAAACACCAAAACAUUUUAACUGUGAAGGACUCUUUUUUCCCUUGUAGCUCUAGUGUCUGGAGGGGUGUUCUUUUUGGUCAUUCUGUCAUUUCCAAAGGUGUUAAGUGGAGAGUUGGUUAUGGGGAUAAUGUGUUAUUUUGGACUGAUAGGUGGUUGAGUUGUGGCCCUUUGUAUCAAUAUUUGCUCAUUGAUCUUUUUGAGGAAAUGCUUCAGCUGAAUGUUGGUGAUUUUUCGGAUGAGGGGGUCUGGGACUUUAACUGCUUAAGGGAAUGUCUUCCUUUUCAUAUUAUUCAGUUAAUUUUAAGUGUUCAUGCUGGUUUUAAUGGCAGUGGGGCUGAUAGAUAUAUUUGGCAGUUCACGCCUAAUGGUUCUUUCUCGGCUAAAUCAGCCUAUAGUUCCUUUUUACCUGCUGAGGCUUUAGUUAAAUGGGACUAGCAGUUUCUUUGGAGGUUACGGCUCCCUCCUAAGGUUAAAACUUUUCUUUGGAUUGUUUGUCAUCGAAAGUUGCUUACUAAUGUGCAAAGGCAGAAGAGAGGCCUCACUCAAGUUCCUACUUGUCCUAGAUGUGAUUAUCCUAUGGAAACUAUUUCUCACUUAUUUAAAGAUUGUCCUUUCUCUUUGGCCAUUUGGAAUUGUCUUCAAAUUGGAAAUAAUCCUAGCCCUGAUAUGGUGGAUUUUAAUGAGUGGCUGUUAAGGAAUCUACAAUAUAAAAGAAAGGUCUAUAAUGGGUUGCCUUGGCCUUUGGUUUUUGCACUUUAUCUGUCGUUUAUCUGGAAAUGGAGAUGUAAAGGAAUUUUUUAUCAAAGGUUUGUUAUGCCUGGUGAACCACAUCAUUUAAUUCUUCAAUAUGCUUUGGAGUGGUUUAAUGCUACCAAACCGCCUUCCCUUUCUUAUGUGUUGUUUGUUGUUCAACUUCAUUGGAUAGCCCCUACUUAUGGAGUUUGUAAGAUUAACACAGAUGGAAGUUGUAACAGUGUUUCUGGGUUUAUUAGUGCUGGUGGUCUUUUAAGAGAUAAUUAUAGUGCUUGGAUUAAGGGUUUCUCUGUGAACCUGGGUGUUGGUUUUGUUCUUGUAGCGUUGUGGGGCAUUUUUUGUGGUCUUCAUUUGGCUCGGGAGUUUGGCUUUAGUGUUGUGGAGAUGGAAAGUGACUCUAGUGUGGAUGUGGCUCUUCUUUCUAGCUCUACUAUUUCCACACACCCCCUGUUUAGCCUUAUUAGGUGUUGCAAGUUAAAGGUGCAAGCUGGUUGGAGAUGUUCUGUUAUGCACAUCUUCAGAGAGCAGAAUGUGGCAGCUCACGUCUUGGCUUCUAAGAGUUCUGAGUUUGGCACUGGGGUGCAGUAUUUUACUGAGGUGCCGACAUUUCUUGCGACUUGUUUGCCUGAGGAUGCUAUUGGGGUGUCCAGGUCCAAUGUUGUUUGUGCUUAUAUUGGGUGUCCAGGUCCCGUGUUGUUUGUGCUUAGUCUGUUUGUUCUGGGCCCUUAGCCCCUCUUGUUGCCAAAAAAAAAAAAGAAGUCAAAAACACAACCCAUCCCCACUUCCAGCAAUAUCUGUGGUGGUGUUGGGUGGGGAUGGUUGAUAUCGUUGCCAUUGUCUCCUCUCAGUCCCACCCCAACUUGACUACCUCCUCCCACGCCCCCACCAACCGAGCGAGUACAACCUAGCACUCUCUCUCUCUCUCUCUCUCUCUCUCUCUCUCUCUCUCUCUCUCACAGAGGAGGCUUUUGCCUCUGUCAAAGGUGACGGUAAAAUCGACAAGGGAGGGCUUUUAGACCCACCCCUUCUCUCCUGUUUGUAGGGGUGGACAUGGUCUAGUUUGGCCCGAUUUGCACCUAAAAAAGAAAUAUAAAUCAAUAUUAUUCAUUUGAUGUGGUAUGGUCUAGCUGUUGACUAAAAUGACUAGGAGAACCGGACCAAUCUGAACUUGCCGGUCUUGGUUCUAUGGAAUAGCAAUUAAUAUCGUAUCCGAUUAUAUUUAGAUUUUUCCGCAUUAAUUUAUAAAAAAUUUAUAAAAGUAUUCGGAUAUUAUUUAUUUAUUUAUUUAGAGGAACUAGUAAAUUUUCCUUAAAUUGUCAAAGGUUACAGGCUUGAGCGAACAAACAUGGCCUCAUAAAAACCUUGCCCAGGAAAAGUAUUUGGAUACGCUUUCAUUGCUGUAUACGGUUUAAUACCGGUCUUGCGUAGGAAUUGACAUAUCUUGCAAUACGAUGCCUUCCAAUUAGGUUAUGAACUCGAGCAAACAAACGUGUUCUUAUUGAUACCGUAUCCACUGCAAUUAAUACCGUAUCAAUUAUUGAGUUUUUUCCACAUCAGUUUAUAAAGUUUAUAGAAGUAUUUGGAUACGCUUUCAUCCUAUUCAAAAGUUGUACAUAAAGAGUAAAUUGUCGUAGACCUCCCCAAAUUAGGACCCCAAUCGAACUUAACUUUAUGAACUAAAAAAUCAGCUAAUUUAACACCCAAAUUAAUUAAAAUUGUCAAUUUAAUACCUACCGUUAGAUUUUAUCACUUUUCAUCUAAAAUUCCUUCGUACGUGGCAUGUGAGACACAUGUGCAAUAUAAUUGGAGAACAAUAUAGUUCUUCUAACCUGUUUUCCUACCACUAUUCAGCUUCCCUAAUAGUUGAGGCCAAAUUAAAAAUAGAGGAGCCCUAAUUUCACAAAUUCCACCAUUACAGACAAUUGUUAUGACAUAUACCCACCCAUAGCAUACAGUUGAGAAGAAGGAGAAGAAGAUGAAGUGGUUAGAAAAUGCAAAGGAACAUGCCUAGAGCAAAUGGUUCAGCCGAGUCCAAGUUCAAAUACCUGGAGCAAGAGGUUCUCUGUGUGUUCUAGAGAUAAGGAGCCUUCAGUCGAAUCUGACAUCAACUAUCCUCAUCAUUUGUUACCAAGUUAAUCGAGCCUAAACGUCUUGGUGCAAAACUUGCCUUUGUGGAGCAUUUGCCUUUUCACAACCAUUGACAGGGGGUAUAUUGACCCAGUUGUAAAGUGAGGAGGUAUUUAAGCCCCUAUUCUAAUUAAGAGUCUCUCUAUUGAUCUACACUUUCUUCCUUUAGACCCGUUUGGUUCAUGAGAAAUCAAUUGCUUUAAAUGUUUGGUAAGUUUAGGCAUAUAAGACAGAAAUAUCAUGCGGUGUUACUGCCAAAUUCACAAGGGAAGUUUUCAAUGAUGAAAAUUGGGAUCAAACAGGUCAACAAUGGUAUAAGAGGGAUCUAAAUCCUAUUGGCAUUGAUGAAAAUUGUGUUGUGUAUUCAUUUAUCUUGGACAAAGGAGAGAACAUGUAGCACAAAAGCAAAGUAGAACACAUCAAUUUAUGUAUAGAGAACAUUAAUCAGUACUUUCUACUUCUUGGAUCAAGGAAAAGGUGCCAAGGACGAUGUAGCACAACCAAGAGCCUUUGUCACGCCAGUAAUUGUGGGCUUGACAUUAGAACACACAGAGGUAAGAGGGCCUUUGUCUCCACCGUAGGUGAGAUCAAUGUCAGUCAACUCCACAUUCUCACACGGUUUGCCAGUGGUACAUAUAAGCUUGACUGCAAGUGGAGUGAAAGAUGAGCCCUUAAUGUUCUUGAAGCUGACAUUGUUGAUCUUAACUUUUGACGGAGGCUUUUGUUCACACUGAGUAUAUGGGCAGUACAAUUGGUCUAUGAGGAUAGGGUUACUGACAUUAACCAUGAUAAUAUCCUCAUAGUGUAUACCCGAGGCAGAGCUAGGCGAAGGAGAAUCUGGAAAUGUUUUGAUUGUCACACCGUUCUCCAUAUUAGUCAGGGUGCAGUUCUUAACUAUGAUCCCGGUCACAUCCUUUUCUUCCUUAUAUUUUCCAAGGCUUCCAAUGCUUAUUCCAUGGCCUGGCCCACAAGUAACAUCAGUCACUGUGAUUUCGUGGGAGUCAUCACCAAUAGAAAUACAGUCAUCCCCAGUUCCAAUCUUUGAAUGAGUAAUGUUGAUACUAGUCGAAGCCCCGAUAUGGAUUCCAUCUGUGUUUCUGCUCUCGUCAGGUGCUGUAAUGGUAAGCUGUUGAAAUGUAGUAUGGUUGCACCGGAAAACAUGGAUGUGGAAAAAUUUGCUGUUAAGUGAAGUUAUGUCCUGAACUUUGGAAUUUGUGAGGAAUUCAAACCGCAGAUUAACGGGAGGAGGUUUGCAAUUUUUGUUUUUGUGGCAGUCAUUUUGAUUCCAAGAAAGUGCUCCUUGGCCAUCAAGAGCGGCAGCAAAUUUUUGGCGCAUCUACGUAUAUACUCCUGGAUAGAGUUAACAAGAUGAACAGGAAAAGACCAUGCCUACACUAUUGGCGCAUCUACGUAUAUACUUUUUCUAAUAUCAUCCAACUAGAAAGUGCCUCACCUUAACAACUUUAAUUCAUCUCCUUAGCUUAAGUAAUCCAUUUGCACCAUUGUGGUUGUUAGUUCAUCUAUUUUUUACCAUACUCUUUUAAUUUUUCUUAUAAUCCAUAGGUUUUGCUUGCUAUCUACCGGUGACAUUGAUCUCACCUACAAUGGAAACAAAGGCCCUCUUACCUCUCAAUGUUAAUGUCAAGCCCACCAUUAUUUGUGUGACAAAAGCCCUUGCCUGUGCUACCUAUGCUGGGUUAAAGAAAUGGAAAGUACUAAAGAUAAAUUGUCGUGUUCUUUGAUUUUUUUUAUUUUGUGGUGCUUGUAUAGGUCUUUUUUCUUCGCUCAGAUACCUUCACAUGUUCUGAGCUAUAAAAUUAUAAUAUAUUUAAUAUUCGCAAAUAAAUUGCUAGUGUUAAAACAUACAUUCACUAAUUCAUCAUUGUCUAGAUAAUGCAUAAGUUUCUACUCUAUAUACUUUUCUUGGCCUACAACCAGUUCAAUGCCAAGAAGAGGGCAUUCUUUCUUCCCAUGCUUGGCCAAUUGAAGCUGGGAUUAGUAUGCCAGCUUGAUUUUGAUCCUUCCACUAUAUUAAUUGAAGAUUAUCAAACAAACUGAAUGUGUGUGUGUGUAUAUAUAUAUAUUUAUUCUCUCAUCCGGACGGUCUGGACGUUAUUAUUGUGCGGGUGCCAUUGUAAACAAGGAGUAUACUUUUAAAAUAAAUUAAUAUUUAAAGAGUGGCUAUACUUGUUAUUUAUACGAAUAUUUUUUAAGUAUAGCCGGGCGGCUAUAUUAUUAAAAUAUUUGAAUGGAUGUCAAGUGUAUAGCCGUCCGGCUAUACAGCAUAAAUGUGUGCUCUUUUUUGUAAUUAAGUAAUAUCUUACCAUUUUAAAAUUACUUUAAUUUUUAUGUAUUUAGUGAAUAAUUAGUAUUGAAAUAUUUUACUAAUUUCAAUAUUUACUUUAUAAAUUGUAAUUAAUUAUUUUAAAUUAUUUUGUGGACUUUGUUUUUUAUUUAAUUUUCUACAAAAUUAGUUUAUUUGGUAUAAUAUGUUCUAAAUAUUUUAAUAGUAUAGCCGUGCGACUGUACUAUUCAAAUAUAUUAAUAUUGCGGCUAUACCUGUUAAAUAUAUUUUGGUUUUAAGAGUAUCGCCGCACGACAUAAAAUAUUCAGACAUAUUGAAUAUUCAAACAUAUUCAACUAAAUAAACUAAUUUUGUACAAAAUAAAAUAUAAAAAAAGUCCACAAAAUAAUUUAAAAUAAUUAAUAACAAUUUAUUAAGUAAUUUUUGAAAUUAGUAAAAAAUUUAAAUACUAAUUGUUCACUAAAUUUAUAAUAAUUAAAGCAAUUAAAAAAGGCUAAGAUAUUUCAUAUUUACAGAAAAGAAGGCGCUGGUAUUGUGCCUUUUUGGUUGGCAAUCGGCCCAUGUCUUCUCACAACUUGUGAUUUAUCUCAAUGAGUGUGUCAACAUGCUUACGUCCAAGCAUUCUUGUUUUAGUGUGUAGAUCCAUCAGAUACUUCCUUUGAGACAAAAAUGUACCAGUUUUUGACCUUGCUAGUUCAAUUUCGUGGAAGUCUUUAAGAGUACCUAAAUCCUUCAUCUCAAAUUACUAAGACAAAUACUUUUGUAGCUUAUGUUGCUCUCUUGUGUCAUUCCCAAUUACAACAAUGUCAUCCACAUAAACAAUUAAUGCAAUGAUAUUUCCUUCAUCACACUUCAAGAACAGGGUGUCGUUCGGAGAUUGUUUUAACCCAUAUAAUGACUUUAUGCAUUUGCAAACUUGAUUUUUCUUUUCAGGAGCUAAAUUACAUCCUAGUUGUAAAUCCAUGUAUAUCUCUUCUACCAAGUCUCUGUGUAAGAAGGCAUUCUUAACAUCGAACUGAUGUAGUGGCCAAUCUAGAUUUGUUGCUAGAGACAAUAGGACUCUGAUAGUGUCGAUCUUCGCUAUUAGGGCAAAGGCCUCUUGGUAGCCCACCUCAUAUCUCUGUCUGUACCCCUUCGCCACCGAUCUAACUUUAUAUCUUUCAAUGAAUCCAUGUGCUUUAAGUUUCACAGUACAGAUAAAACCGCAUCCCACAGUCUUCUUUCCAUAAGGUAAAGGCACGAGCUCUCAUGUGGCAAUCUUCUAGAGAGCUCGCAUGUAACACCCCGUCCUAAAAAUACUGUUCAAUUGAUUAUUUAAUUGUGGAUUUACAAUUUUACCCUUGCGGGUAGGGUUAUUUUAGGCACUUUUCGAUCUGGACAGAUUUUGAGGAUUUUAGUGACACCAUUUCGUAAAGCUCGCUCUCAUGAGUUUGUAGACACGUAGUGGGCUCAAAUCAGAGUUAUAACGAAGAAGUUGUGGUCAGCGGAAGUGCAAUGACACAAUCAUAAAUAUUUCAAAGUUGGGUUUUAAAAUACCCAAUCAGCCUCUCUCUCUCUCUCUUUACAAGAGCGGCAGCAAAUUUUUGACGGCAAUUUUGUCAUCGUCCGGUGUCCGAUUCGAGCAAAAUUGGUUGCAAAAGUUUCGUAUCAAUGUCCUCUAUCUUACCCACAUUUUCCCAGCUCAAGAAUCCAAGGAAAUUAAACUGAACGACUGGAAGUUCGGGUGAUAUUUGAAGUUUCUGAGGCUGUUUUCAGCGAUCUCAGUGGCGGUUUUCGUCAAUCCAGGUAUGAAUCUUCAUCCCAUCCAUGUGCUCUAGUUGUCUAUGCUGGUAUCUUGGAUUAAUUUUGAGGUUUUACAUGUCAUUCAAAAUACCCAUUUUAGCCAACGAUUUCGGCUUCAAUUCGGCUAGUUUCGACUAGUUUUUGGCCGUGGUCCAAGAACAAAACUUGAUCCCCUAGUAAGUCUGAAUUUGUUGGCAUAGGUAUUCACUGGUGGUUUGGAGAUUUUCCGUCGCUGGAAAAUCUUUUAAGACACCCACACGCUGUCGGUGGUGGAUGGCAGCCCAUGGAGUUCUAAAUUGUUACCCUUAUCGUCCUGAGCAUGACGGUAUGCUUGGAUUUGGAUUUGAUUAUCGUUUGACUGUCGAACGGAUAUUGCACUUGUUAUGCGAUAUCCAGGUUCAAUACGUUUGGACACCUGUUAUGUGAUAUCCAGGUUCAAUAGGUUUGGACCGUUCAAUCAGUCCCAUUUUCUAAUGCGUUAUUCCUCGUACUUCUAGGAUUUGUGUUGGAACUGGUGGAUCGAGAAUGGGAGUCUUGGAUACUCCUAAUCAAUGAUUCUAGAGUUAAGUAAACCGGUUACCGUCCUAUCGUACGAUCGAGAGCGAUCCUAUCGCUCAAUCGAGACUAAACUCUGGAAACUUGUUAAGUAGACCUUGUUGUACUUAUAGUAAAGUUUGGAUCGAAAAUCAGAGGUUGUGGACCCCUAGGGCCCAAUUGGUCAAAUUCAGCGAUCGAGGUCAAACCGACCGUUAGAUUGUGAUGAGACUUCUAGAAUGGGCUGAACUUUUGGUUAUGGACCAAUAGGAAUUGUCAUAUAGCAAUUGGGGUUGUGGGCCCUUCGAGCCCAGUUGACUUAGAUUGUGGGCUUUGUUGGCUUGGUUGAGGCCUUUUAGUAGUUGUAAUUGUAAUUGGAGGUUUGUUUUAAAAUGGUAUUGUGUUUUGAGUGUUUUAUUAAAUUUUUAUGAAUUAUUAUGUAAUCGCUUUUACUUUCCAUGAAUAAGGAAUGGCUUGGAUAACUGGAUUUUGGCAUGAAUAAGGAAUUAAUUAAAUGCCUGAUUGUAUGUCUAUAUUUAAAUAUAUGCUCGAUGGCUUGAAAUCGAUGAAUGAUGGAUACUAGUUUUCUCAAUAGUAUGUUGUACAUAUUUGAAUGUAGUUUGAGAACAGUUUUGAAAGAUUAUGCAUGGUCAAGUUCAAGUUAAGGAAUGUUGGGAUUGAUCUCAUUUUAAAAAUGGAUUUUUGGUUAUCUAUUUAAGAACUGAUUUUUGGAAAGUUGAGAAAGAAUUUGGAAACUUGAUUAGUGGAAAAAGAGGAAUUUUAUGAUAAGUUUUGGAAAAUGGUUUUCAAAACCCACCACCGGAGUACCGCCCCCCAAUUGCCUUCGGAACAGUCUAGUCAUUUAUGACAAUGCCCACGAGUCUCAGGGACCCUUGAACCAUGUGGUGCGAGGAUUUGCGUUCUUGGGUUGAUUAUAUCUUCCUGAGUCCUGCAAGGGGAUUUGACGGAUAUGGGUUUCGGGCUGAUGACCCGAUUUUGCGAGGAUAUUCGUUCUCGGGCUGACCACGUGUUCCCCGAGUUACAUGGGAAAGUAGUGGGGAAAGUGAAGUCCUCCUCCCCCCUUGGGUUUUGUUUUCCCUCAUCACGGGAAAGUUUGGGAAAAUGAGCCAAUAUUAAAUGCACAUUUUUCAUGAUCAUUUUGUCCCCAUUAAAAAUUUAGAAUUACAAUAUAUCAUUAAAUGCAUUCUUUUUAUUUGAUUUAAUAUGGGUAUAAUUGGAAAAUUAUACAAAUUUUGUUUUCCAUUCCUACUCAAAACGAACAUGGGAAAGGAAAUAAAGUGAUAUCUCCUGGUUACUUUCAUUUCCCAUCUCUUGGGAAAUGACAUGGGAAGUGAUUUCCCCUCAAAUCCAUCCCGUGAACCAAAUGGGGCCUUAAGGUAAGAGCUUUUCACCCAUAACAAGUUUUCUUUAGGGUUUUCCAUCCCUGGUUUGUCUGGGGUUUUCUUUAUUUUCUUACCAAACUGGUGAUAUACAGGGGUUUCCCUUCAAUAUCCAGGUAGUUGGAAUGGAAGAGGUGAUAAAUUCGUUGGAGAAAGUACUCAUCCUAACUGAAGACGAGAAUGAUUUGAUUCAGUACGACAAAAUGAUGUCGAUGACGUGGGGGAGCGACUCAAGACGAGCCUGGUUGGAAAAGUCUUUACAACUAAUGUUUUCAACCGGGAGACAUUCAAGCAAACGAUGUUGAAGAUUUAGAACAUGGCUCGUGAGGUGGGGGUGAAAGAUUUAGGUGAAAAUAUCUUUUUGUUCAUCUUUGUGACGGAAGGGGAUCGACUGCAGGUGUUGUGCAGUGGGCCUUGGAAUUUUGAAAAGCUCUAGUAUAACUUGAGAUUCCUAGUGGUAGUAUUGCUCCAUAAGAAAUGCAUCUAAAAUAUGCAAAAUUCUGAAUUCAAGUCCAUAACGUACCACUGAAUUGUAAGACGACAAAUAUGGGGUGACAAAUUGGGAAUAUCUUGGACAGUGUUUGGAUGUAACACAUAGGGCAUGUAUGGGGUGUGUUUGGGUAGAUUUAUGAGGAUGCGUGUUUGUUUGAUGUCUCCAAGUCGUUACGGUGAGGAAAAAGGUGAUUCUACCUUCUGGAAACAUAGAGUUAGUAGAUUUCCGAUACGAACGAUUGCCGGAAUUCUGUUUUGUGUGCGACAGAGUGGGUCAUGUGUUCAAGGAGUGUUCUUUUGUCGACCUGGCAGCCAAGCAAGCAAGCAAAAAGCCUAAUGGGACAUGGUUAUAGGCCACCAAUGAUUUUAUCACUACAAGGGCAAGUAGUCCUAAGCGAUCCAACUGUGGUGGUAUGAGUAGACGUGACGACGAUGAAGGUAAUGGAACUCGGGACCACAAUGUUCAAAGGAUAGUUUGUACCAAUGAUAUGCAUUGGUCAAAGGAGAAUGGAGGUCCUAAAGUCAAUGGAGAGAGGUCGUUUAUGCAAGAAAACCCCAUCAAUGCCAAAAAUUCACAAAGAAAGGACGAGGAAGGGAAUUGUGUGAAGGGGAAAAAGGUGGAGGAAGGGAGACAAAAGGAAAAAUCUAAAGGGGAGAGGGUGGCUGAAUCUUUUGUAGGACUGAUGCAUUAACAAAAAGAGGAGGAGGUGGCGUGGGAGGCAAUAGUAGGAGGAGGAGAUGCUAGUAGUGGGUGUGCGAGGAACUCCUCGAAUAGGGCUGAGGUAGCAACGAUUCUAGAACUUGUAGAUCAUGACAUGAUUGAUAUGGAAAUGCCGUUACAAAACUUCAUUAUGAUUAAGGAGAAAACAAUUAAGGGUACUCACAAAAUGAAAGCUGCGGAGACAAAGGCAUUUAAGGAGGAUAUGAAUAUCAAAACCUUUGCAGCUAGAGUUAAGGUUUCCCUUGGUGAGGAUGUGCGUGAAUCAUUGUAAAAUAUUCCUAUGCACAAUCCAACCAAUAAUAUUGCAAGUGGGUUGGGUACCUCUGGGCUCGCAAAAAUUAUUAUUGGGGCCCAAAAGAAUGUUGGAUCAAGGUCUGAAUCUGAAACAAAAAAAUUGGAGGACUAUAUGCAGUAUGAAGUACAUGUACGAGAAAAUAAUAAAAUCAAUGCCAACUCAAAGAGUGGUAAAGGGUCAUGGAAACGUAAGGCAAGGACAAGAUGUGAAUCAACCAAUUCGCAUAUGGGGGAACUCAGCGACUUUAGAGCUUUAAUUGGAAAAGGGGGAGUAUUGGAGAUAAUGGAUGAAGGGAGGCCUGUGUCAAAGUGGGUCAAAGAGGGAGAAGAUAUGAAUGAUUUUACAAACAGAUUGGUGGGAUUAGUGGGCUGACCCACCACGAGCCAUGAGGAUCUUAAGCUGGAAUAUCCAAGGUCUGGGGGCUCCUCGGACAUUCCACUCUUUCAAAAACAUUUUGCGAGAGAAAAAAACCCGAUUUGGUCUUCCCUGUGGAAACCAAAAUGACUUCAAAUCAAAUGGAAAAUAAACGAAUACAACUUGGAAUAGAAGGGGCAGUUAAUGUUGCGAGAGUGGGUUUGGGGGAGGUUUGGUUUUGUUCUGAAGCAGUGGGUGGAAUGUGCGGUUAUUAUCUUACUCAACUGGUCACAUUCAUGCUCUGAUAACUGAUUCGAAUGACUCAUAAUUUUAUUUUACUGGGUUUUAUGGGCAUCCUGAUACUCAACAACGAAACCAUUCUUGGGAGUUAUUAUGCAGAUUAUCUCACAGGAUUCAAGGUGCUUGGGUGCUAGUUCGAGAUUUUAAUGAGAUUUUGCUUCCUAAAGAAAAGCAAGGUGGACGAGAACAACCUCAAUUUCAGAUGAACAAUUUUAGGAAGGCUUUGCAUGAUUGUAGGCUUAGCUUCACAAGAUUUAUAGGGUACCCAUUUACUUGGGUACGCAGCUUUCCAUAUGGUAGUGUGGUGGAAGAACGGUUAGACAAAUGUGUAGCAAAUGGGGCUUUCUUUGGCCUUUAUUCAUAUUUGAUGACUAACCACUUAGUAGCAAUGGGUUCUGAUCACUACUCGAUUUUCGUGGAGGCUUGUGUUGAUGAUCCAGAAUUUUUUUCUCAUAAAAAACGGAGUAUAUGGUUUCAUUUUGAAGAAAUUUGGACCAAUGAGCAAGAAUUUGAAAAGGUAAUUAGAAAGGCAUGAAAUUUUAUUGAUGGAGCUGAUGGAGUAAGUAAUAGUUUAUCAUUGUGUGCAAAGGAGCUCAAAAUUUGGAACCAAGUCAUCUUUGGUAACGUUCGUAAUCAACUCAAAUUAGCUUAUCAGGAGUUAGCAGGCCUUCAAAGAAGACUGACAACAUAUCAUGUGUUAAAGUCAAAAGUUGAGAAAACUAUUUCAGACCAUUUAGAAAAGGAAGAAAUUAUGUGGAGGCAACUAUCUCGAUAGUAGCGUGGCUCAAGGAGAGCGAACAAAAAUACCCAUUUUUUCCAUGAACGGGCAAGCUCUGGAUCAAAACGCAAUAGGGUACGCGGACAUUUUGAUGAAAAUUAGGUCUGGUGGACAGAUGAGCAUAAGAAUGGAGCCCUUUUCUAUGACUAUUUCAAGUCCUUAUUCUCUUCCUCUAGCAGCCAGCAAAUGGAGUGGAUUCUUAAUUAUGUAAGUCCUGUAGUAACAAGUGAUAUGAAUGAUCGCUUUCUGCAAGUUUUUACAAGGGAUGAGUUGGAGUUCGCAUCAUUUCAAAUGUUCCUAACAAAAGCACCUGAGUAUGAUGGUAUGUCGGCCUUAUUUUUCCAAAUGUAUUGGCACAUUGUCAGAGAUAUGGUGUCUACUAAGUGCUUGCAGAUAUUAAAUGGAAAAGGGAGUGUUCAGGAAUUUAACUACACUCUUAUAGCUCUCAUCCCAAAAAUAAAGACGCCAACAACUGUUUCAGAAUUUCAUCCUAUCAGUUUGUGUACGAUAAUUUACAAAAUGAUAGCGAAAACAAUUGCCAAUCAGUUGAAAAAUGUUCUUCCUUAUGUGAUUACAGAAAAUUAAAGUCCCUUUGUACCGAAUCGAAUGAUUUCAAAUAAUAUGAUGGCAGCUUUUGAAACAAUGUGAUAGGACCCGACUUAAAUUUCACUUUGGAAUUCGGUCAAACACUAUGCGUGUCCAACACCAGGCAAGUGUCGGUACGAAUGACCAAAAUACCCUUCUUGCCCUAAACCAGAAACUACUUUAGGGUUUGACUUCUACCGGUACCGGCAAACUAGCAUAUUCUCCCCUGAAAAAGUCUCAAAACCUAGAAAUCUACCUGCACUGCAAAUUCAAAUGAUUCCCCAAGAGUUCAGCAAAUUUAACUUUUCAAAACUUAACAUAACAUAACAAACCAAACAAAAACUUGCGGCUGCAUUUAGGUUAGCCUAGGUUGUCUACGUACCCUUACUGAGGGAUCAAGCCACACAUAGUUCUUUCUACCCUGAAUCACAAUUAAGAUAGUAAAGAAAUAUUCAAAAUGAAACCAGCGAAAUUUUUUUGGAAUCAUUCUUUAUCUUGGUCUUCACAAGCUAUAUAAUUGAAUAUCAUGCCAUUAAAUCAUGUACCUAACUGUUCAAAUAGUUUAUCAUUGUACAUCUAAAUACUUGCAUAACCAAACCUUUUACCUAAAAACCAUACCGGCAAUCAUCUGCAUUGUACAUAUAUCCUAUAAUCACCCACCAAUGGGUAUAUGAGAACACCAUCAAAUCUGAAGGUAACAAGGGAAGGUGAAACUAGCUAACUACCUGUGUAGAUAAGUCGGGUAGGUGGUAGGGAUUCUGGCCAACCCUGUGCAGAUAAUAUGAGCAAGGUGGUGAAUAAUAUCCUGUUAACUGUACCACACAUUGGUACUGCACUAAUCUCCACAUAGAUAAGUUUUAAAAUUGAAUUUUUAAUUUUUAAUUAAUAUUUUAUGAAAAAUGGGGUAAAGUGAGACAAAAUAAGUUUAAAGGGAAAAAGUGAGACUCAAAUACACUUUCAGGGGGUAUAUCAAUAAAUAAGCCUUCGUUUAAUGUUAAUGCGCAACACCUACUUGGUUUCAGGUGAAAUUGCAACUUCUUUUAUGGUAGCAGAGUUGACUAUUCACGUGUCGGAUCAAACAACCAUACAUGCUACCACGGAAGGACGGAACCAGAAUUUUUUUUAACGAGUGGGCUAGCUAAAGUUAUUAAUUAGCUUAAAAUUUAAAUCAUAUAAACCACGCUAGUUCGCCAAUGGGGUCUAGCCAAGUGGACAAGGGUCUUAACUUGCAAAUCGGUGGUCUCUGGUUCCAACCCUCCACCUUCUUGUAGUUUAGACUAUUGUUUGUUUUAAAAAAAAAAAAAAAUUAGAAACACGCUAGUUCAUAAUUCCAUUGACUAAUUUCCAAUAAGUUUUCUCUUUUUUUAUAAGCGAUAUUUGGUGAAGGGGAAAUCGAACUUGGAGACUUUGAGUGCAUGGGUAAAUGUUAAUUUCCAAUAAGCUUUAACAUAAACAAAUACGUAUUAAAUGCAAUCAAAAAACACAUGUUAUCAAAAUGAAAAUAUGUUCAACAACAUACUUGAAAGUGUACCUAUUUUAAUUUUUAAUGUGUAUGUUUAUUGAUCCCCUGCAACUAAAUUCAUAAAGACUUAAGAUUUUUUUGGACUUUAAUAGGUUAGUACAUACUAGGUUAUUUAUAAAACAUGUUGUUGAUGCCCAACAUCGGAGAUCAACUUAGGUGGAAGAAGUGUUACAUCUUCAACAGGACAAGAGAGUUGUGGACCUUCGGCAAGGCGAGAUCCUGUAGAAAAAAUAGGGAAGAAGCAAUCAUUAAACUUCGGAUACUGGUGUGGUAGCUACUGAAGACUCUCCGAUGCUUAAGUCAGUAAGUGUGGGAUACGUUAUAAUUUUGGUAGAGUAACAGUAAAGGUGAAAAGUAGUUACCCUUUUUACCUAAGCACUAUUCCUCUUUUAUAGGGAAAUGAAAGUGAGAGUUUGCACAAAGUUUCAAUGUGGGACUUUGUGCAAAUUGUUGUGGUGGCGACAUGUGUCUGUGGUUCUAGGUUUUGUAGUUUGAGAGCAUCGGCAGCCGUUUCGGUAGGCGACUAUUGCUUUGGAGAGAGGUAUCCCUUCGGCAGGUCAAGAAGAUGAUGACAUCAUUAGUAUUUUAAGCCGAAUAUGCUCGGGCGAUUAUGGUGUAAACACAUGUUAGAUAUAUAUGUUUUAUUUUUGUUUUUAUCCCCAAAACCUCCCUUAACUACAACACAUUGUAGCCCUCGGAGUAGUUCCGCUCUCGCUCCCACUUCACCCAAUAUAUAUUGUCCAUGUAUUACACUUGAGUUAUACCGCAGGUGAGGGUGCGUGUUGAGAGUAAACUGUCAUUAUAAUAGAAUACUUUGAAAAUUUGGUUGUUUUCCACUUGACUUUUCGUUAGUGGCUGACUGUAAUUUCUCUUUGAGCAUCAUUUGUAUCCCUACCCAAUUAUACAAGAGCAUUAUUUAAUUUCAAAUAUAAAUUCGGGUGCUAAUGCUUUUUACUAGGUUCCCACUUUAAAAAGUCAACAAUUUCAACUAGGCCAUACAUGACCAGUACUUUUAGAAACUUCCUAAAUGUGUAUUUAUAGAGUAUGUUCUGGACAGAAGCAUAAAUAAACGGAACAAAUUACCCACUUUGAGUUUCAGCCAAAAUGUUCUUCUCCAAAUCAAUCCCUCUCUGUUUCUUACUCUUCUGUCUUUUACACCAUGCAGCGCUUGGUGCUUCACUUUUCCAUUUUUGUUUCAGCAAGGAAAACUACACUGCCCAUAGCCCAUAUGAUGCUAACUUGAUUCAGUUGUUCAAUCUUCUGUACACAAAAGUUCCUCCUACUGGAUUUGGCCUUGGAUCAACUGGUAAAGGCCAAAACCAAGCGAAUGGGCUAGCCCUAUGCCGCGGGGAUGUCUCAAGCCAAGAUUGCAAGACUUGUGUCGUUGAAGCAAGCAAAGAGAUCAGCGCUGCCCUAGUGGGAAAGGAGCCAUAAUAUGGCACGACAACUGCCUGUUCAAGUACUCAAAUGUGAAAUUUGCUGGGAAAGUUGAUUACAAAAACAAGUUUUCUUUGUGGAAUGGCUACAAAGUAGAUGAUCCCAUGCCAUUCAAUGCGAAAGUUAAGGAACUGUUAAGCGGGUUAUCUACUAAAGCUUCUUCUAAUCCAAAGUUUUAUGCUACUGGUGAGCUAGUGCUCAGCUCUUGGGAAACACUAUAUGGUCUGACCCAAUGUACUAGAGACCUCUAUAGUUCCGAUUGUAAGAAGUGUCUUGAUGAUGCAAUAAGCGAAUUGCCAAAUUGUUGUGAUGGACAACGAGGUGGGCGUGUUGUGGGUGGGAGUUGUAACUUUCGAUAUGAACUUUACCCCAUUGUUGAUCCUUAACUAGAUUAUAUAGCUUUCAGUCGGUUAUGACCAUGCAGCAAUAUUAAUUCAAUAAGUUCAGAACAUGUUUAGAAAGCAUGUUAAUUGUUAUAAAUCUGAAAUGUUUAUUACAUAUUAUGCUUACAAAUAAAUGAUGAAGUGAUAUUCAUGGGACUUCUAAUGCCUCAUUUAUCAGCCUUAACCCUCUUCAUUCUGAUGUAUAUUUGACCAUGCACGUAUACCAAAAAUUUAUUAUUCCGGAACUCUAGAGCUUAAAAAAAUGUGCAAAACGUUAACAAUGAUUGGUUGAGUUAGUAAUGAUCGUUCUCUUCACUAUCAAGGUCUAGGUUUGAGUUCCGCUGUUGACAAUCUCUCUUGGUGGGUAAUCUGUAAAAACAAAAAAAAGGGGCUAAGACUCCUCUGUAACUCCUCAAAGAGGCUUGGUAUGCCCUGGUCCUAGGAUGGGGUAGCCUCCCCUCCCCCUAAACUUUUGUUUACCCAAAAAAAAAAAUUGAGCAAAACUGGGAUAUCAAAAUUAAUGGAUCUGACUACUUGUUUAUUUUAGUUAAUGAUGCUCUCUCUCACCUCAUAUCAGCUGAGUGUACUAGUGGAAGACUAAAUGGCAUUAGAUUAUGAAACGGCAGCCCCACUCUUCAACAUUUGUUUUUCGCUGAUGAUACCCUUCUUUUCAUCAAAGCCUCCACUGAGAACUGUUAACAUAUACAGACCAUUAUCUUGUAUAUUUAUUCAAUCAUCAGUGUAACUUAUAGAAAUGUAGAGAGAAUGACUAGAUGAAAGAGGAGAGAAUUUUAGAGAGAGUGAGAUUGGAGAAGAAGCUAGCUAAGAUUGUAUUAGCUCAGCUCCAAUCUGACAUGCAUAUAUUGUGCUCUGACAAAACCGUUAGGAAUGGAAUAUUCCUCAUUACAUCAUUCAAUCCUAGCCACUCGUUUAAUUACCCUAUGAGAUAAAGACAAGUGGCACAAGACUAUUACAUUUUCUGCUGCAUACUUGGACUGUGAUCCAAAGCUGCCUUUUAAACGAAGAAUAGAAACUUCUUUGUUCUAAUUACAUUUCAGCAAUCACACUUAUAAACCAACACUUAUAAACUUCUUUAUAGAAAUGCAGCAGAAUGACCCACAUUUUGGACUCCUACUGUGCAGCUUCUGGCCAACUUGUUAAUUUGGACAAGUCUAAUAUGUUCUUCGGUCCAGAUACCCGGAGUAAUAUCAAAAGAAGUGUGUGUUCAGUUUUGAAUAUUAAGUAGGCAGACAAUCCGGGGAAGUAUUUGGGUUUGCCGUCGGUUUGGGGUCGCUCAAAAACGGAGGCCCUUGGUUAUAUAAAAGAUCGACUUCUAAAGUUUAUUCACAGGUGGAACAACAAGGAGCUCUCUCCUGCUGGGAAUGAAGUUUUAAUAAAGGUAGUAGCCGCUGCAAUCCUGGCUUACUCGAUGACUUGCUUCAAGUUGCCAAUUACUCUUUGCAACGAGAUCAGUAUGGUGAUGGGUUCGUUUUGGUGGUGUGAUAAUGAUUCUGGGAGAAAGGUUCACUGGAAGAAGUGGGCAGAUUUGGGAGGGGCUAAAAGUUGUGGUGGACUUAGGUUUCUAGAUUUGGUAUCUUUUAACAAGGCUUUAUUGGCCAAACAAUGUGGGAGAAUCAUUAAUAACCCUUAGGUUCUAUGGGUCAGGAUUCUCAGAAGUUUGUAUUUUCCGAAUUCUGGUUUUCUAGAGGCUGAGAAGGUUUUCAGAGCCUCUUGGGCGUGGAAUAGCUUACUAUAAGGAAGAUAUGUUAUUCUUAGUGGUGCUAGAUGGCAAAUUCUGGGAGGCAAUUCUGUAAGGCUGUGGGAAGACUCAUGGCUCCUCCAAUCUGACAAUGGGUACCUCCGCCCAACUGCACGUCCCCUCCAUUGGGCCCAUGAUGGUUGCGGAUAUAAUUGAUUGGGAGCAUAAGCGCUGGGAGUUGGCGGACAUUGAGAACCUGAUUUCUGUGGAUGAAGUCAAUGAGAUCUUUACCCUUCCAAUUGGAGGUAAAGAUAUUCCUGAUUGUCUGAUUUGGCCUUACACGAAGAAUGGCACUUACACAGUCAAAUCGGGAUACCACUGGAUCAUGGGGGAAAACAAGCGAGCUCAGUCAAAUAGGAUUGAAUCUUCUCGCCAGGUGGAUGAGCAAGUCUGGAAUUGUAUUUGGGCUUGCAAAACUCUCCCAAAUUAUUCAUGUGGCGUGUUGUCCAUGGGAUUCUUCCUACCUUUGCUAGCUUCUUCAAGAGGAAGUUGAGUCCUUCUCCCAUCUGCCCUCUUUGCCAUGAUUUUCCUGAAUCUGUGGAGCAUGUUAUCUUCAUAUCCCUAUGGGCUCCAAAAAUAUGGUAUGCUAGUAAUCUAUCUUAUAGACCUGAUGAGCAAGCUUUCUCGUCGUUGGAUAAAUGGAUUUUGGCUAUUUCUUGCUGCUCUGUUUUCUCGAGCCUGGAGAAACAGUGGAUUUUAACUCAUGCUACCUUUGUGUGCUGGAGUAUCUGGAUAGCCCAGUGCUCUUUUAUUUAUGCUACACCAUUUAAUUUCUAUAAACAAAUCCGAAAAAUGACAGUUGGUCAUAUUGAAUUUAACCUUGAUUCCCUAUGAGUGUUUUGAGUUUUUUUAGGGGUUUUUUUUAUGAGGUUUUGGAGUUUGGCUUAUUUUAAGAAAUCGAUGAUAGUUUUGUAAUUUAUAAGAAGUUCGAAACUUCUUUGCUAUGUUGUAAAUGGCCUUUGAGUGUGUUUCUAAAGUCCAUUUUAUGUAGCUUUUUUUAUUUUAUUUUAAAUUUAUAAUUUAGGCUCCGUAUUGGGUAUAUAGUGAAUCUCCCUAACAAAAAGUACAAAAAGUUAUAGUUUCCUCUCAUUUUGAUACAAUUCCUACAAUAACUAUUUCAUUACAAUCUUCAACCUUACAAUUGUGUGCAAUUUCUCUCGUCUCCUUUGUGGUCUUGAUGCCUCUAUCUCUGCAUAAAGAACUCUCUCUCUUUCUAGAUCUCUCCUGAUAAAAUGUCUUCCUCAUUUAAGAAAAUGAUGCCAUCAGCACCCACCACACCAGAAAUGGUGCAGUCAGGAGAAAUCGUGAACCUUAACCAUCAGUCACAAUCACCCCCGCAUGCGAUGGUGACUAAAGAAAUUCGCAAGAGCUGAAAAAUGGGGCUGAUCUAGCCCUAGUUUGCAUUCUAGAAGCUCUCCUUCCAACUUGUUUUAUGAGACUUGAUGGGGCGCAGUAAUAUGAAAAUAAGUCAAAACGAUGGAGAUUAAGGUUACUAAAAAAGUCAAAUAAAACUCGAACUUAUUGUGAUUAUUAAAGAUUAAGAUUAAUUUAUGCGACAAAACUUAAAAUUCAAAAUGAUGAAAUAUAUAUAGAUUAAUUUGAUAAGAUUUGUGCAAUCCUAAUUUCGAAAAAAAAAAGGAAGCAUAUAUAUAUAUAUAAGUAAUAAUGCUAGGGACACCAACUUUGUGCACCGAAUUUGGAUCCCAAAUGAUGUCGCAUAUGACACAUUAUCACUUUGGUGUCUCCCUUAGGUUUUUUGUGUUUUUCACAAAAUCUCUUGAGGUAUUGGAAAUUCCACUAACCUCACAGAUGUGUCAAAUUGUUUUCACAACCCCUCCCAUUGAUUUUCCACCUAAAAAUUGUUGAUUCUGUCGCACAAAAAUCUCCAAAUGACAAUUUUAAUCUAAAAUCUUAGAUUGUGCAUACACCCGAGGUCUAAUCAUUGAGGUUAAUUUUGUCAUUUAAAUUUGAAAAGUUUUUUUUAAUGAAAUCAUCAAUUUUUUCGAUGAGAAAUUAAAGAAAGGGAUUUUGCGAAAAUAAUUUGAAAUUUCAAGGGUUUUUUAGUGUAAGUUCUGAAACUUGAAGGGUUUUUAUGAAAAGAUAAGGUGCUAGUGUAAAUAACUACAUAUAAAAGUCAUGUAUUUCUGUCUGUUCAAGUCGCAAAGUCCCAUUUACAAUUCUUUACCAUCUUCCUGCAAUCAAGAAAUGGACCAAGGACUAUAGAAAACAAAAAUAAAAAAUCGAUCGAUGCAUCAGUGGCUGGAGGCUAUGAGUUCUUGUAGAGAAACGUAGAGAGGAUGAACACGUUACCGUCAAUUUUGAAAGAAAUUUACGAACUUAUCCUUUAGCUAAUGUGGCUUAGUGUAAAUUGUUAGAUCAUUUAAUUGAUCAGAUUUAUGAAAUACGGAUAAAUGAACAACCUCUAAAUGCAAACGCUCUAAAUCCGAGUUACCAUCCUCAAUUCUAUCAAUAGAUAAAAAUUGUCUAUCCCCAAUUCUAUCAUAGUUCAUAUGGGUUCAAGUUGCCUUUGCUCUCCAGCUUUCGCCCCAUCCUUCCAAAUGUAUUGUUAAACUCCUGGACAAAGGAAAUUUCCAACUUCAGACAGAGUAGACUACCUUUUUCACUCACAUAAAGUUGCACCUAUUGGUCGUUAAACAAUCUUGGUCUUGGGAACGAUCUUUUAUGUUUUGGGUUAUUUACUCUAGUGGUCCUCAAACUUAUAUUCGAGUUGUAUUUUGGUUUCUCAACUAAAUUAUUCAUUCAAAUGGUCCACCAACUCUUUAUUAAUUGUUGCAUUGAUCUUACCGUUACAUUUUCUGUUAAAUUUAGUCAUCUGAGCAGCACAUGAUACAUUUGUGAAGGUAAAUAAGACUUUUGACACUGUAAUCCCAUCCCCAAUCCCCUAGCCACAUCCACCUCAACAGACCCCAGACUUGAACCCAGCACCCCAUCCAAGCUAUCCCACUCCAUCCCUGUCUCUUCCUCUCUCUGUCCCUCCCCUCAUCCUUCAAUUUCCUAAUCAAAGAAUUUUCAGUCAUCAUCCCCAUCAAAAUUGUCGUCGGGAAUACCACCAUGGUCAGUAUCUCUUAAUAAGCCUUGUAUGUCAUCUUUGAACAAAAUGUUUUCCCCUUGACAAAAAGCAGUGCUACAACAGUAUUUGUAGUUAGAAAAAACUGUUCAAUAAUAGUGUCUUCCAUUGAAAAUGAAUGAAACACAUUGCCUUACCCAGCAACUGAAUCUUUCUAGUAAUUUUUCAGCUUUUCUUUUGAGAGUUCAUCCAUCAUGUUGUAGACCUGAUAUAUAUUCCAUUUCAGGAAUGAACCUUUGGCCCUCUUCUUUGAUUUGGCUGGUUCUUGACCUUUUUUUUUUGUUGUGCCUUUCUCUUUUGUUCUCUCGUCUCUACUUUAGGGAAUGAGAAAUCUGGUCUGGUUGCGAUCUUUUGAUAUGUUGUUUGUUGGCCCUUGGAUGCAAGUUUCUUGAUUUUAUCUCUUAUGUUUCACCUUCUUGCUUUUUUCCUUUAUCCUCUUCACUCUGCAGUUCUUGUGUUAAUUUGUGAUCUCUCAACAAGGUAAUGACAGCUUCCUUUUCAUUUAUAAUCUCCAAGUAGGAAAUCUUCUCUGCAAGAAGUUGAUCAUUUUCUAGUUGUAGCUUUGUCAUGUAGGAUUUUUCCUCAUAAACCUCAAGUUGAAUGGAAUUCUUUUGAUAUGCUUCUUCCUUAACCAGCUUCUGCAGAUGUUGUUGUUGCUUCCUUAAUUCUUCUUUUUCAUUGUAUAGUAUCUAAAUCAAUUUAUUCUUUUUUAUGCAUGAUACUAUUGCAUCAUGGAUCUUUUGAUGCUCUCAUUUCUUUAUCCAAUUCAGCAUCAUUAUUGAUCUCCAUCAUAUACUCUUUUGUAAAUUGUAUUUCAUCCUCCUUGUAUUCUGGGAUUGAUCUAACAAUUUUCUCAAACAACGUUGUAUUAUUGUAUUCUGGGAUUUCAGUUUGGAGGUCAUCUUGUAGUUGGUGGUGUUGCUAGGCUUUAUGUUCUUGGUGCUCUUGCUCCUUUUGUUGUGCCACAAGGUCAUCACUCUCUCCUUUGUCAGUGACGUUGAGCCUCCUUUUUUGGAUAAUAACAGUGUUAUGUUUUCCACAAUAUUAGAAAUGAAAUAUUAGAAAGGAAUAAAAAAAAAUAAGAUUAGCAAAUUUAUAAACAUGUGUGUGUAUAUAUAUGUGUGUGUGUGUGUGUUUGUACACCCUCAAUUUAGUUUUCAAUUAUAAACAUUGGAUCAUUAUAGGUUAUCUUACCAAAUUUUUAAGUGUGAUAACGAAGGCAUCAUCCUCCUCUUCAUUUUCUUCUUCAGCAGUGUCAUCAUGUUCUUCAUUCACUUCUUCAGCAGCAUCAUUCUCCUCUUGAACUUUAGUGCUUUUGAUCUAUUUGUUAAGUAGAGUUAGUAUUAAGAGUGUACUUCUAUAACAUGGUAUUAAAAGUGUACUUCUAUGAAAUGGUAUCAAUAGUUUACUUCUAUGACAUGGUAUUAAUAGUUUACUUAUAUGACAUGGUAUUAAGAAUGCACGUCUAUGACAUGUUAUGAACAAUGUUGUCAUAUUAGCUGCAGAUUAUUUGAAAGCAAAGAGUACCUUUAUCUAGUCGUUCUUUAGAUGGUGAAGCUUCGCACUCAGUUGUUGAAGACUCCAUUUGAUAGCCCCUGGUGUCAUUUGUUCUCUUCCAGGAAUUGGAGUGAGUAGGUUAGAUCUUUGACACAACCAAUACUGCACAAUUUUUUUUUUGUUUUUUUUUUUGCAAUAUCACGUGUCAAUGACAAGACCUAACCCAAAUUCCACUUUGGAAUCUGCGCCAAGCCCUAUGCUUGUCCAACACCUGGCAGGUGCUGGGCUCACUUAACCAAAUUACCCUUCUUAUUAAAACUUAAAAAUUCUUCUAAGGUUUGACUUCUGCAGAAAAUUCGGCAAAGUUACCCCUGUAAAUUGCUUGUUUCCCAAAAUUUACACCUGUACAAAAUUGCAAUUCAUAUAUCCACAAACGUUUAGCAUGCACAAAGUUAGAACACACACAAUCCAGAUAAUGCUACGAAUUUGCAGUUUGGAGAUUUGUGUUCUUACCGGUAUUAGGAUUAGGCAUCCACUCACGCUUGGCUGCUUUUUUUUUUUGUCUUUCUUGUUCUUCUUUGCUUGUUCUAAUCCAAAAUACAUGUAGUCCAAAACUCCUUGAGCCCAAUUAUAUUUCCCCAUCUCUUCUAAGGUGUCUAUUGUAGUUGUAUAUGUCCAAGCGAGUGUACAACGAGAGUUGCAGAAGAGAUUGGUCAUGAAGAGUUGUACGAUUAUCAAUCUUGGUACAUCCAUAGGACCCUCUUCUGUUUCAUCUUUAAGUGCUAAGUUCAAGCACUUAUCAAUUGAAGUCUUUAUUAUCUUCUUAUAACCCAUGAAGUAUUUCUUCACAGAAUGCAAAUCCGGCCUUGUUGAGGUUGUUGUGCUUGGUAGCUUCUUGCCUUUGUUUGUCAAGCCAAAAAUUUCAGACACAUCUUGGCUUUUCAUCUCACUGUCACCAUCUUUAAACUUGAACUUCCUCGUCUUUGUGUCAUAGUCUUGUAUGAGUCUCACGAUGUCAUAAUUAGACUUCAUGUACUCUACCUUUGUUAACCUUUUCUAGAUAUAUGCUUCUAUGAGUAUCCAAAAAGGUGUCUUCGAUAGUAGUGUCAAGACAUAGUUCCGUUGUUCAGGUCUGUCUCUGAUGUUGACAAUUGUUGUUGCAAAAGUGAGCAUGUUGCUCUUGGUCUGCACAUAGUUUGGGUCAUCCCAUCUGUUUGGCUUCUUGUUUGUUUUCGUUUUGGAUGAUGAUUGUUUGCCUUUUGGUUUUGAGGUUGGUCUAGUUUGUUCUUUCUUCAUCCUUUCUUUGGUAUACCUGCAUUAGAAAUAACAACAUGACGGCCAUUAAUCAAUAUGACAGUAAAGUAGCAGUGUUAUUACCCUAUACUGGAACUUUACAAUGGUAGACAUGCAUUAGAAAUAUGAUUUCAUAGGAAACAAGCAGUGUUAUUACCCUAUACUGGAACUUUGCAGCCAUUAAUCAACUUAACAGUAAAGUAGCAGUGUUAAGAAUGGGUAUAUGACUAAAUAUCUCUUUCCUUUUUGAGUUGCAGAAAAUUGACUAUUUUAUAGUCCUAUGCAGUCAGUCCAAUAGUGAAAAUCCAAUAUAUUUUCAAGAUUUUGUCUUGGAUUCGCAUCUAAAAUACUGUUAUUACCCUAGACUGGAACUUUACUAUGGUAGACAUGCAUUAGAAAUAGGAUUUCAUAUAAAACAGGCAGUAUUAUUACCAUAUACUAGAACUUUAUAGCGGUAGAUAUGCAUUAGAAAUAGGAUUUCAUAGGAAACAAGCAGUGUUAUUACCAUAUACUGGAACUUUACAGCCAUUAAUCAACAUGACAGUAAACUAGCAGUGUUAAGAAUGGGUAUAUGACUAAAUAUCUAUUUUCUUUUUGAGUUGCUGAAAACCGACUAUUUUAUAGUCCUAUGCAGUUAGUCCAAUAGUGAAAUCCAAUAUAGUUUCAAGAUUUUUUCCUUGAUUCAAAUCUAAAAUACUGUUAUUACCCUAGAUUGGAACUUUACAGCAAUUAAUCAACAUUACAGUAAGGGUUUGGUUUGUAAAUGUCUUACCUUUGAAGCGUUUUCUUGUUGAAAUUGUUCUCUGAAAUUUUUUCUUUGUUUUGUAGGUGGAGGUCAGUGUAUGGUGUUUGUUUUUGAAAGUAGAUCAAGCUUGGUGGUGGUUAUAGAGUUUCAAUUUGCAUAGAUGAAGACUUGUUGAUGAAGACGGUGAAAUGAAAAGACGUUUCGGAGAGAUGGUCUAAUGAAGUCGAGUGCUUGAAGUUAAGUUACGGUUUUCGAGAUGGUAAAAUGUUCGGGCUUUUUUAUAAAAUUGGGCUGGGGUUGUUUUGGGUUUUUUUUGAGUUUUUUUUUUUUUUUUCUGUUGGGCUUGAUCAGUGGCAGUCCUAUAAUUUAUAGGAACUUCAACACCAAUUUCUUAUAUACAAAUGAAUUUUGGGUGUGUUUCUAAAGUGCAUUCUAUAUGGAGUUUUUUUAUUUAUAAAUUCAGCCCAUAUUUUGGGUAUAUUAGUGAAGCUCCCAAUAAACUAAUGGUGGGCUAUGCAACAAAGUGGAGAAAUUGUUUAUUCAAGGCAUGUUGCAGUCGGUUGCAACAGUAGUAGCUCUAACCUCCUAUAAAAAGAGAUGAAACCUUUGUCCAAAAACACACCGAGCCUUACAUUUCUCUUGAGCUAUCUUUUCCUUCCUCCAAUUCUCCUAGUUCUAGUUAUAAAUUUUCUGUUUUAGUUUUUAUGGGAACUAACUCCCUAGCUAAGGCUAGGGAGAAAGCUUUUAAUAUGAGGGUAAUUUUUAUUAGUUUGAUCCAAACUUAAGCUUUAAUGUUAAUUUGUAGUUUUUGUUCAAAUGGAUAGUUUACUUUUUAAUUAAUUGAUGAAUGUUUGAUAAUCUAUUUCAUGGAUUCAAUCAUGGUUUUUCCAUUGUAUAGUAAAAACUUUCAUGCUUUUAAAAGAGAAGAGAAUUACUAAAUAUUAAUAGAAUUUCAAUGAAGAUUAUUUUUUGAUAGUUUGUUGCCAAUGGUACAAGUUAUGCUUAGAAUACUUCUAAAGGAAAUUAAAAAGAGCUUUAAUUAUUUUGAACAACUACAAUGGAAAAUAUUUUGUGGAACAAAUUAAUAAGAAUUGCCUGCUUAUGUUAAAAGUGGAACCCCAAUGCCUUAGUGUUUUAAUCAAUUGAAUUUUCUUUAAAUCAAAUCUCAUUUAAAUCUACUUCUCAAUCAUAAUUGUUCUUUUUCAGCUAUGUUAUUUUCUUUACAUCGCUCUCUGUGGAUAUGACAUUCGGACUUUCGAGCUACACUGCUAUAUGACACCUCCCCUUGGGUUUUGCAAGCGGUCAAUCAAUGUGCAACUUUCUCUUUUCUGCACGAAAACUAAAAUAAGAAAGAAAAAAAAAAAAAAAAAAAGGGAGCCGAUUUUCUCACUCCCUUUUACUUUUUAAUACUUUUUAAUUAAUUUUGUUCUUUUUAUUCUUUAUCUUUCCUAUUCUACCCUUACCCUACAAUUCUCUUUAAUAAACAUGUAUCACUUACUAAAAUUAUGAAAGAAUUAAAAUCUGAGAAUUAUGCAUACCUUGCUCUCUGCAUAUCUUAGCUCCUAAUGACAGUUUGGUUAGUAGCAUUCUUUGGUUCUUAUACCAUAUUUAUAUAUUAGCCCAAAAAAAUUAUUAUCUAUUAACUAUAGUCUAUAACAAAGAUAAAUAGUACUCACAUACCUGGUAAAAAAAACUAAGAAUUUCGCAUACAAAUACUCUCAUUUCUAUCCAUUUUCCAUAUAUAUAUAUAAUUUUAUUUUAUUUUGGUUUUAUUUUUUGUUAACUUUUCUUAAUUUUAGUUAUCAAAACCUUAAUAUAGGGUAAGGGUAGAAUAGGAAAGAGAAAUAACAAAAAAGAACAAUAUUGAUUAAAAAAAUAUUUUUUUUUAAAACAAAAGGGAGUGUAAGUGGGGAAAAAGAGAGUGGAGAAAUCACCACCCAAAAAGAAAUUAAGUAAACAAAAGAGCUCGAUAAACUUAUGCACAGCCCCCAAAAUCUUCUCCCAAGUUAUCUUCAAUCCAUAAAGUCAUCAAAAAACCAUUUAUUUUCACAUCGAACCCCGGGUGCCUCCAUUUCCAUUCUCAAAUUUGCAGACAAGGUUACUAUAGAUCCAAUGUUGUUGAUUUGGGGCUCAUUUCAGAUACAUUGGUUGAAUAGUCGUGGCGGCCAACAUGCGGCCCUCUAAGAGCAUGUCCAGAGCAGGAGGCCUGCCGGGCAACAGGCCCCCCCACGCCAAGUUUGGACCUCCAGCGCUACCAAUCCAGCCCGGGCAAGCCCAAGGGCAAAUUCUACUUGGGUUCAAGCCCGAAGGCGGUGACGUCAGCGAGUGAAAAAAAUUGAAAAAAAUACCAAAAAAUUAUGGAUGUUUUCCCUAUAAAUACAUAACAAUUUUAUUCACUUUCCACACCAAAUCCUCAUACAAACUCUUCUCCUUCUAAUAUUUGUAAAUUAUAAUCUUUUUUUUUUCCUGCAUUUGUAAAUUGUGUAUAUUUUCUUAAAUAUUUAUUUUUUUCUUGCAUUUCUAAAUUGUCGCAUAUUCUUUUUUUUUUUUUUUUCUUUCUCUUGCCCUAGCCUUUUGUGGUGGAACCAAAAAAGACAAGGAUGUGAAUAGUGGCAGCCCUUCCUUUACCUUUGCCUUAGCCUUAGCCUUAGCCUUAGCCUUAGCCUUUUGGAGUGGACAUGCUCUAAUUGUUUGUCCACAGAUGAGCUUACAGUCACAGAAACAACAAAUGUAAUAUGCUUUCAGAAAGAAAAAAAAACAUACGGUGCCAUGAAAACAAUAUGCUUCAUUAUUCUGAAAUUUUCUACCAUCGUUUAUAUAUGAGAGAUUUAAAUAAAACCUACCCAAUUGUAUGGAGGUGAAGUGCCGACUAAAUUGUUUCUGUAUUGGAAGUUUCAAAGAAGUCAUCCUUCCUGUGAAAUUUCCUUUCCCUAAUCACCACUUGGAAUUCAAAAGAUAAAAAACACCAUCCAACCGAAACUCAGCCCUAAUCUUAAAGAACAAUAACAAAGCAUUACAGUUGCUUCACUACUGCAUAUAUAUCAUUAACAUGAAAAAAGAUCAGGCAGACAAUUUGAAUUUGUUAGCGUUUGACAAUGUGAAACAUCAAAUGCAGACCCGAAACAUGAAACAAAAGAAAAGGUUUAGCAUUUGAAUUCAAAGAAGAGUGUUUCUUUUUAUUUUAGGCACUAAUGCAACAUAAGUAACUUCUAUUCGUAUCAAUGUAGCAACCAUGUUUAGUCCUAUUUAGUGCAUUAACAAGUUAGUGCCUGUUCAUUCAGAAUGUAUCAAACAAUAUACAUCAUUAACUGAAUAAAUUAUCGAAAUAAAAUAUUUCAAUUAUCAUUUACAUAUUAAAGAUUUUAAUAAAAUUUCCCCAACAGAAAGGUUUUACGUAAGCAAGACGGCUUAUGAUGGCAGUUGAAAAAUUAACUAAAUUGUUUCUGCAUCGUAAGAUGCAGAGAAGUAAUCCCUCCCAAUUAAUUACCCUUUUCCUAAUUGCAACUUGAAUGAAAGAUAUCAACAAUGACCAUCCAACCUGAAUAUAACAAAGCUGAUGCAGGAUGUGUAGGACCUAAAUUUAUUAGUUUCCUAGAUACUCUAGUUUUCCAAAUUCUAGUAGGAUUUCUACUUUUCCAGAUUUCCAGAUUUCCAGAUUUCUAGUUUUAAGUUACCUAAACUCUCUAAUUCCUUCCCCUUUCCCUUCGUCUCUUCGAUCCCUAAUUCUUCUCCUCGAUCUCUUAUUUCUUCUCUGUUCUAUUGCUAAGUAUUUUCUCUAAAACCUACGGGCCGUUCUACAUCAAAAGCACUAUUAACUUGCAGAGUGUGUGUGUGUGUGUGUGUGUGUGUGUGAGAGAGAGAGAGAGAGAGAGAGAGAGAGAGAGAGAGAGAAACCUAACGCCUGAUUUAUAAUUUGUGGUUCGUGCUGGGCGGGAAAAGAAAAGAAGACGAUAAAAGAACUAGUCCGCUAUAACAGUGAAAAUAUGAUAAAAGAACUAGUAUACACAUGUAAGAAACAGAUCAUGGAACAACAAAUUAUGCCUACAAACUACUUCUACAAAAAAAACAUAGAACAAAAUUUUUCAAAAUCAUGUGGUUGCAGCAGCUCCAUUGACCACAUAAUCAAGGGGAUGAGCCUAAAUUGUAGGGGAUGUGAUGUAUGAAACCUUCCCGUUUCAAUUUUCUCAUUGUAAGAAAUAACAAAAAACUUCAAACAGUUAAAAUGUUGGAAGUCACUCCUUUCACAUAUGUUUAGACAGCCAAGUGAAAGGACAAAAAGCUAGUUCUACACCAAUUGACUCAAUGUCCAGGGCCAAUUAAAACCUUUUUUCUGCAAAUUACAUAUUUGCAUUACAUUCAGGUAAGGGGAGGAUCCAUAAAGAAUUCAAGAUUACAGUCUUCAUUUUACAAAAUGACGACUUGUUCGUUAGGAAUCAUCCAUCAAUUCAACAGUUACAUACUCAUAAACACAAGCAAAGACACAGGGUGACCCUUGAAAGGCAACCUCACAAUCAAAUCAUAACUGUGCUUCUCUUGAGUCUUGACCACAAAAACCAUGUGAAAAUCUAAAUUUAAGAUGUGAUCAAAUUCCCUACUCUCAGAAACAUACUAUGCCAGAUCAAAACAAACUUCAAAAACCCUGUUACCAAUUCCAUUUCUCAACUCACCUUUUUCAGUGUUACUCAUAAUGUUAUUAUUCCUCAUAUGGUAUUUUCAUUCUCAUUUUUUAAAACUGAAAAAUAAAAAGAGGUUCCAUAAAUGAUCAUGACCCACAAUUGGUACAUGUCACAAAUGAGAUAGAAACCCAAUUGAACAAAACAUGAAAAAUUGCAUCUUAACAUGGAAAUUAAAAGAAGUUUAUAUAAAUGAACCAAGACAUACAAUUUGUUUAAAGAUCAAAAAGCAGACCACAUAUCUCAGUUUCAGCUACAGGCAUUAUUUGAAACCAGCAUAUCAAACACAGGAAUCAACAAAAACAUAUGAAAGAAGCACAUGAUUUUUUUUAAAUGCAUAUUUCUUUGAUACAAACAGCGAUAUAAUAUAUGACCACCCAAAGAAAGAAAAAAUGAAUUGCAGUGUACCAAACCCAAAAGCUAAAGCAACAAUUACGAAGAUAGAUACAGAGAUAAAAGUCUAACAGUAUAGAACAGUGAAAGAGAACUUGGAAGUGAGUGAAUUACAUGCAGAAAUGCAGCCUUUCUUCAACUUGCACAGAGAGAGAGAGAGAGAGAGAGAGAGAGAGAGAGAGAGAGAGAGAGAGAGAGAGAGAGAGAGAGAGAGAAACCUAACGCCUGAUUCAUUUGCAUAUUUCUGGAAUGUAUAUAAGCCUAGUAAACUAGAAGCAGUUGGUCAAACUUUCCAUCAAAGAAUUUAAUUUGUUAGGAUUUAGUGAUGUAAAACAUCAAACUAAAAUUCAAAAGGCAAAACAAAAGAAACAGUUUUAACAUUUGAAUUCAGAACAGAUUAUUUCUUGUUACUUUAGGCACCAAUAAAACAGUAACUUCUAUUCAAUCCUUUUUAAUGCAUUCAGAAAGUCUCAAUACAAUAUGCAUCAUUAGUCAAGAAUUAGGAUGGGAAUUGAAGUGCCAACUAAAGUGUUUCUGCAUCGGAAGAUGCAGAGAAGUAAUCCCUUCCAAAGAAUUACCCUUUCCCAAAUCGCAACUUGAAUGAAAGAUAUCAACAAUGACCACCAACCUGAAACUCUGCCAUACUUAGUUCUGAAACCACAAUAGCGUAGCACUAUCAAUUGCUUCAUUACUGCAUAAAUAUCAUUAACAUGAAAAAGAACAUGUAUCCUAUAUAAAUUCAUAUUUGUUCCAGACAGCAUCCAAGCCUACAUGAUUAUCCAUAUAUAACAAAAAUUCACGUUGAUGCGUAUUUAUGAAACAACUCUUCACUAGAGAUACUCAAAGCUUAAAAACUUCAGGAAGGCGUAUAAACUCACUGGUUAUUGGAUUGCGCACAACAACAGGUCAUUGAUGAAUGGUUUGGAAUAACUUAUUUUUUCUUUUCCUAAGAAUAGUAUGUGCAUUCUGAGUCCUAAUAAAGUCACACCAACAAAUAUUCCAUGGUGCAAUUCUAUCUCUCUCCAACAAUUCCGAUUCUCAUCAUAAACUAAUGAAUAUGUAGCCUAAUACACUAUGAGAAGCAUCAACAUAUGUCUGUGUGCAAGUGUGUGUCUAGUAGAGAGAUUCCUGCAUCUGACUGAUAACAGGUGCAAACAAAUUAUGCAGAGACUAUAAAAAGAGAACUAGUAUACAAAUAAGAAUUAGUCCCCUGUAGCAGUGACUCUACAAAAAAAGAACUAGUAUACAAAUAAGAAACGGAUCAUGGAACAAUAAAUUAUGCCUGCAAACUACUUCUACAUAAACAUUGCACAAAAAAUGUUUAAAUCUUGUGGUUGCAGCAGCUCCAUUUACAACAUAAUCAAGGCGAUGAGCCUAAAUUGUCAAUGAUGUGAUGCAUGAAACCUUGCCCAGCAAUUGAGUGAAACUGAAACCUCCGUUCUAAUAAGGGAAGAAGCGCAACCUAAUUGUUAAGAGCAGGGGAUUUGAGAAAAAAAGUUGUACAUAGUUCUGGCAUUUAUCCAUAACUACAAUUUAAAAUCCAUUCCAUUACAGGAACUUCCACCACAACAAAUGAAUGAACUCAGAGUUAUAUCUUACGUGGACACAAUUUAUAAAAAUUUGUCUGAGUGGACACAAUUGUUUAGAUGUUUUUUGUUUCCUGUUUCAAUUUUCUCAUUGUUUGAACGAAUGCCAUGCCGUAGUCUUAUGACAGCAACGCAAGGAAUAAUAGAAAACUCCAAACAGUUAAAAUGUUGGAAGUCACUCUUUUUUCACAUCUGUUCAAACUGCUAUUCUCUGGAUCUGUGAAAGGAACAGAUAUAUUCAUUCAUGCCCUAGUCUAAAGAAACAAUGAUAAAGACCCAACAAAAAAUGAGAAUUCCAGUGUACCAAAUUAUCAAAACGGAGAACUAAAACAACAAUUGAAAGAAGAUACAGAGAUUAAAGCCUAACAGCACAAAACAGUGAAAGAGGACUUGGAAGUGAGAGAAUUACCUGCAGAAAUGUGGCCCUACUUCAACUUUCAGAGAGAGAGAGAGAGAGACCAAACUUGCCAAUAUAGUCAGAAAAUGUACAUCAAUGAAACAGCAAGACCAAACUGAAAAGGAAAUAAAGAUCAAAGUGGCAUGUUUGUAUUACUGGCUCUACAUUAGGUACAAAAAAUCAAUAGAAUAAUGUAUUACAAUUAAUGGUUCAUGAAAAAGGCUUUCAUAAAAUACAAUUGAGUUUCAUAUGUAAACAAUAAAGCUAAGCUAAGCUGCACCCAUUAUAGCAAAAGUUGAUGGUUUUGGGCUUGGAACCACAUGCCUUGACAUGAGCUUCAGAGGAAGAAUCUCCUGCUCAGAAAAACCAACAUUUUCUUGAGCCAUCUCCUCUGCAUCUUCAGACUUCCAACUUCCAAGGGGUAUGAAGCUAGGACAAUCCGGAACAGAGGAAGCCACUGCAGAAGACACUUGCUUAAUUGGUUUAACCUCUUCAACCCCAUUAUCCAGUUUAGUCACAAAUGGGUGGUUCAAGAGCAUAGCAGCAGUAAACCUCUCUGAAGUGUUCCACAUAAAGCAACAUUGCAAGAAAUCUUUAGCCUCUUUUGAUAACCAACCAGGAAUGGCAGGAAUUCUUGAAACAAGCAGGGCAGUUAACAGGUCCCGAACGUCAAAUACGGCGCCAGGUGUGAAAUCCCAUGGAUGCCUCCCAGUUAACAUUUGCAACACAACACAACCUAACGCCCAAAUAUCAGAAGGCUGCUGUUGAAUUCCAUAAACCACAGCUUCUGGAGACAAAUACAUUGGUGUGCCUCCAAAUGAAGGCUUCUCCCACUUCUGAUUUGCCUUCUUUGUGAGCCCCAAGUCUCCGAUUUUUGGCACAAAACAAGCACCACCAGAGGAACCAGCGGCAUCAGACACAAGCAGAAUAUUCUCAGGCUUGAGAUCACAAUGCACAAAACCCCUUUCGUGGAUGUACUUAAUCCCUUUCAAAAUCGACUCUAUAUACUUUCUGACUUGGAAUUCACGCAACCCAAAACCCCUUGAUUUCUCAAUCAAAUCCGCCAUUGUUCCUCCAUCCGCGUACUCCAAGAACACAUUGAAUAAAUGACGGCCAUCAGCGCCAAUCGUCUCAUCCUCUCCAUAGCAGUUGAUAACAAAAGGGCAGUGACGAAAAAUGUAAAGAAGAAUAUCUUCCCCCAUCAGAUCAUGCGCCUGAGAGGCCAAUGUCGAUUUCACGGCCACAAUCCUCGGCACACCCUUCAAACACAACCUGGGUUUUUUCACGAAACCCAAAUAAACCGACCCGAAUCCGCCUUGGCCGAGCAUCGGCCCUCGAACCCACUCGCAGCCACUUAGUGUAACUGUCAAGUAAUGAUCUGCAUCAUCUGCAGAAUCGUCUACAACUAUUAUCUCAUCAUGGGUUGCUCUUUUUCUCUUGAGACCCGCCAUUGCUUUUGUACACUUCGUUCAAAAGUGAAGAACAAAGCUUUUUCCGAAGAUACAAAGAUUCUGGGUUGUAGAAGAAGAGCAGAACUUGUGGGCUAACAAAAACAAAAGAGACGACGGAGAACAAGAGCAGAACUUGCGGGUUGUAGAAGAAGCAGUGGAAGCAGAUCGCAGAGCGAUUGAUGAACGAACAAGUCGAUGAUGAUGAUGAUGAUGAUGAUGAUGAUAUGAAGAAGAGAGUUGGAAUUGAAAGAAACCCUUUAGGCUUUACGAAAGAUCUGCGUAUUCUUGACGCUGUUGGGGUUUUUCGAAAUCCAACUUUCUCUUUCCUAGUUGCGUUGGGAAAUUGGGUAUAUAUAACUUUCCAACGGUCAUUUUUUUCUUUUCGCCGCGGCCAUUUAGUGCGCUCUAAUUAAUAAUCGAAUAAAAUAUAUUAUUUUUCUCUUUUUUGAAGUCAAAUUUGAAAUAGCCUCGUAAAUCUGCACCUGUGAACUUAUUUGUAAUUUAAAUUUUUUAGAUUUUGUCGCGGACAAAAUCUUGGAGACGAGGUUAAAAAAAAAUAAUUGUCAUUUUAUUCCAUGUCUUUUUUUUAUAUUAUAUUUCUUGUAUUUUUAAUUUUAUUUUUUUAAUAGAUUAUUCAAGACAAAAUAAAAAAGAGGAAAACCAUUACACAUGACUCCUCAAGUGAAUAAUGCCCCCAGUUGGUUCCAAUGAUGCAUUCUAUGUUAGAAAUAAAGGCACUAUUACUUUCUCUGAAGGAAAAUACUCCCCCACAUCAUGAUCCAGUGGAACCGCCUCCGCCAAUGAUUGCAUCGUCCUUGUACUCGAUUGUAUCAUACUAUGAGGACCGAGAGUAUAUCAAUUGUAUGAUGAGUGAGAUGUGAAUUUUAUAAUAAAUAUGGACACGUAGCAAUUGAAAAUCUUAUCCGAAAAUUUAAUCUUAAAUUUUUUUGAAAAUCUUAUCUGGAAAUUUUAUCUGAAAUUUGAGAUGAAAAUUUUAUAAUAAAUAAUCACGUGGCAACCGAAAAUUUUAUCCAAAAAUCUUAUCAAAAUUAAUGGUUUAAAUAUAAAAAAUAGAAAAUAAAUUAAAGUAAAUAGUAAUUGCCCUUGCCCUUUGGGGUUGAAACAAAAAAAGCAAUGGCUACCAUUAUUCACGUGAACAGUGACAAACCUUGCCUUUCCUUUGCCCUUUGGGGUGAAGAUGCUCUUAGACUUCGACAACCCAGCUCUCUCUCUCUCUCUCUCUCUCUCUCUCUCUCUCUCUCUCUCUCUCUCUCUCUCUCUCUCUCUCUCUCUCUCUCUCUCUCUCUCUCUCUCUCUCUCUCUCUCUCUCUCUCUCUCUCUCUCUCUCUCUCUCUCUCUCACACACACACACACACAGAUAGCUUUUAGACCCACCCCUUCCCUCUUGUUAGUAAGAGGUGGGCAUGAUCUGGUUCUGCCUAGUUCUCACCUAAAACCGAAAUAUAAAUCAGUAUUAUUCAUCUAGUGUGGUAUGGUCUAUUUAUUGACUAAAAUGACUAGGAGAACCGGACUUGGUUCUAUGGAAUUGCAAUUAAUAUUGUAUCCAAUUAUAUUGAGAUUUUUCCACAUUAAUUUAUAAUUUUUUUAUAAAAUUAUUUGGAUAUGAUUUAUUUAAUUAUUUAUUUAGAUGAGGUAGUAAAUUUUCCUUAAAUUGUAAAAGAUUAUAGGCUCGAGCGAACAAAUAUGGCCUCAUAAAAACCUUACCCAAGAAAUUAUUUGGAUACGCUAUUGGAAUUGACAUGUCUUCCAAUUAAGUUACACACUCGAGCGAACAAAUGUGUUCUAAUGGAUACCGUAUCCACUAUGCAAUUAAUACCAUAUCCAUUAUUGAGUUUUUUCCACAUCAAUUUAUAAAGUUUAUAGAAGUAUUUGGAUACGCUUUCAUCCUAUUGAAAAGUUGUACAUAUUAAAAAAAGUAAAUUGUUGUAGAUCUCCUCAAAUUAGGACCCUAAUCGAACUUAACUCCAUGAACUAAAAAGUUAGCCAAUUUAACGCCUUUCGUUAAAUUUUAUCACAUUUCAUCUAAAAUUGCAUCAUUAGUGGCAUGCGAGACACAUGUGCAAUAUAAUUGGAGAGCAAUAUAGUUCUUCUAACCCAUUUUCCUCCCACUAUUCAUCUUCCCUAAUAGUUGAGGCCAAAUCAAAAACAGCGGAGCCCUAAAUUCACAAAUUCCAUCAUUACAGACAAUUGUUAUGACAUACCCUCCCAUUGCAUACAGUUGAGAAUGAGGAGAAGAAGAUGAAGUGGUUAGAAGAUGCGAAGGAACAUGCCUCGAGCAAAUGGUUCAGCUGAGUCCAACUUCAAAUAGCUGGAGCAAGAGGUUCUCCGUGUGUUCUAGAGAUAAGGUGCCUUCAGUCCAAUCCAUAGUCUAAAAUAUUGAUAAUAUCAACAAAAUAUCGAGGAUAUUAUCGUUUUUUUUUAGUCACGGAUUCGGUACGUAUCCAUACACAUAUCAUAUAAAUAUCGACAAUAUCGAUGAUAAUAUAGGAGAAUAUCGAUAUCGAUAAUUUCGCUCACACUUCAGCAAUAUUUUGUCAAAAUAUCGCUAUAAUAUCAAAAAAUAUCAAUGCAAUGGAAAAAAUGAAAAAAAAAAAAAAAACACACACACACACACACAAAGCACACAUGCAAAGGGGAUUCAAACCCCUGCCAUUUCACUCCUCCAAUGCCUUAACCACCACGUUGCUUAAGUUUUUGUGAUAAUAUGCUAAAAUAUGUAUACUUUACUUGUUUUGUUUUGAACUAUUUUUGCAAAAAUUAGAUUUUCACAUGAGAAUGUGAGUCUUUGACCUUUCCUUUUUGGGAUCAAAUCGAGCGGCUUAUGGAAAGAAUCUGAGACUCAAUCUUCAAAUGAUUUUGCUUAUGGACAACGUCAACUAAUCUCGGAUCCAUAUGGGUGACAUGUUAACAAUUACAUGCAAAACUAUUUGGGGAUUUAUCAUUUGAUGACUACUCUUCAUACUACACUUACUCUACACAUAGAGAUGAUGAAGAUAGUGAAAAAUUUGAACCUCAUAUGAACUCUAUGUGGUACUAAAUCACUCAUGUAUCUUUCGAUGCAAUGUAUAAAGUGUAAAAUAUUAUAGUAAAUCAUUAUAUAUAAAUGAUUAUGGUGUGUUUAAUCUUCUUUCAUUAAUUACUACAUAUUUUCUAUACUAACAGUGUUCUUCAGCUUGGUGUAUAAUCAACUUAAAUCAGUUAAACCCAUCAUGUAAUGCAUUUUCUUCCAAUUUUUUGUGAUAAACUAAUAGAUAAUUGACUAAAUAAACAUCCUCCAAAGUUUCAAUAAAAAUUUCCAAGUUUUUCUUACAAUUUCCGUGGUUUUUAUUCAAUUUUUAUCUAUAUUGGUAAUAUCUUGAUAUUUCCAUCGAAAUUUCUGUGUUUUUGAGCUACCGAUAUUUCUGAUACCAUCGAUAUUUUAGACUUUGGUCUGAUUUGACAUAAAUUAUCCCCAUCAUUUGUUACCAAGUUAACCGAGCCUAGUCCUGGUGCAAAAUUUGUAUUUACACGUCUAUCAAUGGUUGUUAAAAGCCCAAUGCUCCACAAUGACAUUUUUAGUUUCAAUUUUUUUUUUGGACAGAAACAUUUUAUAAAAUUUGUAAGGCCAUCUCCAACUGAUAAGGCUAAACCUAAAAUAUCCCAAAUUAUAGUCCAAAAUCUCUCCCAACCCAGGAAAAUGAAGGGACCAAAAUUUGGGAAAACCCAAACUUGGACCCAAAUAGCAGUCCAAGUAUUUCCUGGACCCAAAACUAUUCAUGGAGCCCACCUGCAUCUGAAGCAACCCCAAUGUACAAAGAAUCUGACGUGGGCCCUAGCUCUUGCUGUGCUGCUGCUUUUUGGUAGCUUGUUACACCACAUGUCAAGCUGCUGUGAAGUUGCCUUUGGAAUCCAACGGCAACAAUUCAAUUUGUUUUUUUUAAAUUCUAAAUGUAACUUAAAUCAACGAUCUAGAUUAAAUCUAAACUAUUUUAUUGGUAAAAAAAAAAUGAUCCAACAGCUGAAAUUUAAAUCCAAGGGUCAAAAUAAUAUUUUAAAUUAAUCUAGAUCAGAUCCACCCUCAAAACUCACUCCAAACUCUAUAAAUACUCAUCCAUUUCUCAAAUAAUCUACCAAAAAUAUUUUAUCUAUUUGUUAAUUUAUUUUUCCUUUGUCAAUCUCAUCAAUCUCCUUUCAAUCUUGUUGAAGAUGUCCACAAAAUCUCAAAGAGGUGUGAAUUGGAGGCUCGAAGAAGAUGAGGCAUUGUGUAAUGGGUGGGUUUCUGUCAGUGAAGAUAAGGCUAUUGGCACCAAUCAAGCAAGUGACACAUUUUGGAAGUGUGUAUAUCAAAAGUUUCUGGAAAAUGAUCCGGGCAUUAGUGGACCCGAGCGACAAACAUAUCAAGUCAUUGCUUCUCGGUUCAAGACUAUCAACCAACAAUGUUUUCUUUGGAAGACAUGCUUAACUAAGACCAAUACGAACCUACAAAGUGGCUCAAAUCUAUAUGAUGUGGUAAGUAACCAUUCUUAUUAUAUCUUUAAAUUUAUAUUUGUAAUUUUAUUCAAUUCCAAACUUAAGUUUAUUUUUUCAUGCGUAGGAUGUGUAUGCAAAACCGAUCUUUUUUAAUGAUAAUAAGCCUCCAAAUAGGCCUUUCAAGUUGUACCAUGCUUGGGAAAUCUUAAAAGAUUGCCCAAACGGGAACUAUAUAAAUGAGCCUCCCACACAACGCUCUUCUGGAGUUAGUGCAAGUAUGGUGAAUUUGGAUGAUGACACAGACGAUAUCACCAUGCCUAGUCCAAGGCCUGAGUGACGAGAUAAACAAAAGGAUGCAAAAAAAAAAAAAAAGGAAGAUGGCUGACCCUUCUCAACAAGCAAGGGAUAAGUACUUGAAAUCAUUGGUUGAGCAAGGUAUUACUUUCGAGGAGGAUAGGAGAAGAAAGCUCAACAUAUUGGACAAGUUUGUCCAAGAUCAAGUUGAUGCUUAUGCAUAUCAGAAGCAAUAAAAUAAGGAGCCCAAAAACAAAAAAUAAUGUCCAUGGACGUCAAAUUUACUCCAAGAAAAAGAAGUAUUGGGGGGAUAAACAAGAUGAAAUUAUGCAAAACAUGCACCUGGUCAACAGUCUACCGUUAAUCUUGAAGACAACUCGGGGGACUAUUAUCCAACCCGAUGGUGGUUAUUAGUUUAUUCCUAUUGGGUUUCAUGUAUGGUGAAUUUGAAGUGUUGUGUGCUUUCUUUUAGAAUUAUGUUGUGUGUUUUCUUUUGGAAUAAAAUUAUAUUUGUGGAAUUUCAAAUUUUUAAGGUCAAAUUGUUCAAAAAAUUUAAUUAUGAAGUCAUUUAAAAGAUUGAAUGAAGAAAAGUUAUCCAGAAAAAAAAAAUUAAACUUAAACCAUUCUUAAACAAUUUAAUAAAGUUGCAGACUUAAAAUUUGAGUCCGGAGGGUUGGGAGAAAAAACGAUUUGAGUAUGGGCAAAACCCAAAUAGUUAUUUUUUUUAGGGGAAAAAUUUAGGUUUAGCCCCAAAUGAGUUGGAGAAGGCCUAAGAGCACAUCCACAAUUUGUAAUGGCAAAACACAAGGGGAGGCAAAGGUAGUUACUUUGCAAGUGAAUAGUGCAUGCCCUAGCAAUUUUUUUGAUGCAUUCUCACCCAUUGCGAUGGCAACCCAAGGGCAACCACUAUUUACAUGAGUUAUGAAGAGGAAAAUUUGUAUGAAUUUUGGUGUGGGAAGUAAAGACCAUGGCUAGGUAUUUAUAGAAAAAAAAUUAUGAAUUUUUUGGUAUUUUUUUCUUUUUUUAUUUAUUUAAAUUUUUAUGGUAUUUAAAUUGGCCGCAGACGUCAACUUGCCCAUUCAACAGCCAGGCAAGUCUUGCCUUUGGGCUUAUCUAGUUUCAUGGGGGCCACUUCUUGCCAUGAACAUUUUUCCUUAAUGAGGGUUGUUUUUGGAGCCUAGGCCCAAAGUGCUCUAAAACAAAUGCAACAUAUCACUAAGGAAACAAUAGACAAUAUUUUUUCCUCGCCAUAAGGUAUUUUCCUUACUGUUUUACCAUAAGGCGUCCUCAAGCAGUCUUAAUUUCCAAAGAUACAAGAGAUAAUAACGAGGUGGUAUCUACUAGUGUAAUUUGUGUCAUCUUCUGCCAAGUCAAAUCUAGUGCUUGGGGAUUCUUUAGGACCUUUAACAAAGCCACACUUUAUUUUGGGUGCUGAUUUUCUCACUUUUGUUUUGUCCACUUACACUCCCUUUUAUUUUUAUUUUUUUUAAACUUUUUUCUACAACGUACAAGGGAGUCUAAGAGGACAAAAGAUGAGUGAGAAAAUCAACUCCCUUUAUUUUUUGAUAAUUUGCCCAAAAGGAAUUGACUUGGGGUUUUGAGGGCAUCAGAAUGAGUAGAAGUGGAGAUAGCAACGACCUUGAGGUCUUCCUCCACCUCCACAUGUGUGGUGGUGGCGGCGGUGGUAGAAUUAGGGUUCGGAGGGGUGCUUAUAUCGAAGGAAAUGACCUUGUCGGGAUCGUAGGUAACCUUGUUCAAGGCAAGGCUUGUAGGCGAUCUCGAUGGUUAUCCAACCCAUCACUACCCCAACUAUCGCUAUCAGUGCGCUGGUUAUUGCUCCCAUUUUCUUCUUCUCCUUCGUCUUCUUUUUACUCUCUUCUGGUUCUUCUUCUUUCUUGAUUUUCACUCUCAACUGACGACUUUGUGCUAUUUUGGAUUUGGGAUUUGGGAUUUAGUGACAAGUAGCUCUCCAUUGAGAUUUUUGCUUGCUGUGUUACUUUGCACUAGCGACUCUACCCUCUAAUUUCGUUCGACGUGUGCCUCGAGUGACAUAAUGGACGGAAUUUUUGAUGAAAUGUGAUAAAAUCUAACAACAUGAAUAAAAUUGGCUAUAGUUAUUAAUUCGCGGACUAAAUUGGCUGAUUUUUUUAGUUGAAGGGCUUAAUUUGUACAAGUGUCAUAGUUCACAAGGUAAAACGGCUGAAAAUCUUAUUUUGUUAAAAAAGGAUUAGUUAUUGAUUUGCCCUUGAAACUCAACUGUAGUCCCACUUUGGCCCCCAAAUUUCACUUUGGUAUCUCAUUUUGCCCCAAUUCCAUCUAUUAUGUUUUAGACCCAUCAGUUUUGUUAUGUGGCAUAAAAGGACCCAGCUAAUGUCAAAAGACUCCCUAUAGGUUUGGGGUAAUUCUUAAUAUGGGUCUCGAGAUAUCAAUUUCAUCAAUUUACACCCUAAUGUUUUCAAACUUGUCCAAUUUUAUCCUUCUGUUAAAUUGACCAUUUGGUCAAUCUUUAAUUGUUGAUGUAGCAACAAUGGGACCUAUCCCAACUAACAGUUUAAGUAGUUUUUUUUACAAAUAAAUAAUUUAAAAUUUUAGAAAUGUUAGGUUUUUGUGUGGAGCCCACUAACUAUUCAUUUGGAGACUUCGGGUAAAGUUUGUCCGCAACUUUCCCUUAGUACACAUUCAGGUGGGUUGGCUGCCUCUACCCAAUCUGCCUAUAAAUAAGGGAUUAUCCUGCCCUUGCACAUAUACGAACUAUCAGAGAAACAAGAGAGCCCAGGCAGAGAGACGAGAAAAGAAGAGGAGAAAAAAGAGAAGAAAAAGAGAGCAGAGAGAAAUUCUCCAAGAGAGAAACAUCAAUGAGCCACAUAUAUUGUAAACACUAAAAUUGUAGCCCUCUUAAGGAGGCCUUUGAAAAAGUUACUGCUGCUGCUCUCCGAGGACGUAGGCAUAGCCGAACCUCGUUAAAUGUUGUGUCUCAUCUACUUUACGUGCAGCUCAAUAUUCUUCUCACAUAAUCCCGUUCAUCUUAUAACAAGUUAUCAACACGAGAAGCUCUCAGGUAUAAUUUUUUGCACUGCACUAUUAUUUAUACUACUAACCAUUGUGUUGAUGGAAAGAAGAAAAGCUGUUGAAAUUAGUCCAACCUGAUUUCCUACUUCCACUAACAUAUAAUAGUAUGAUGUAUAUAUUAUCUACAAUCCUGAUCUCUUGGACUACAGGGGUCCAAGAGAUUUGUAGUCACUCACCGUUGAAUGUAAAUUCAACGGUUCACUCACUCUUGCACUCCUUUUAAAAAACUUUUUUGAACCGCUAG
rnacentral:lncRNA from 1 species